rnacentral:lncRNA from 1 species
AGCAAGCGAGCGAGCGUGUCCUCCUUCCGCCUCCCUCUCUUCCGUCGUCCGCACUGGGCUGGGGCGGCGGCGCCUGAGCGGUUCCCUCGCGAGCCUGUGCGGACCAAGCCGCUGGAGAAGAGGAGGAGCAGCCCGGGCGGGGCGGAGACGCUUGCGGGCUCCUCUCAGUCACUUCAGCCAAUCAACAGCCAGAACCGAUGGUUGCGUAGUGUCCCCACCCCCUCGGGCACGCCUCUCUUCGAUAAGCCACGCCCAACUGCCCUCCAGCCGCCUUCCCUUUCGGCGGUUUCCGCGCGGUCCUAAUGUGUGGUGGCUGACCGCGGGCUGGGGUGGGGAAGGACGCGGUAGGACUGUAGGAGAUGGCUAGGUGUGCUAGAGCGCGGCAAGGCGCUGCUGAGACCCGCGUGUGCGGAGGGAAGUGGGGAACUGCCCCUUUUCCAAGGGCCUGAACACAGCUUUUGACUACUGACUGUCCUGUUCUGCCUUCCUCUUCGCGUGGGCCACCGCCCCACAGCGCCGCUGGGUUCCCUUCGCGGCCGCAUGGUACGCGUCCCGGGAGCGAAGCUUCCCCUGGGGGGAGCGCGCUAACCUGAGCUCCUUCGGUGCACCGCCCUGCCGACUGUCUGGAAGUCAGCAAUGGGAUAUUCCCACCACAACUUUACCGGGAUCUCUGGGUUGACUCUCUGGGUUGAGGAUCGGGGAGCUGGGUCGGGAGGCUGGCUUGUGGCUGUGGUUGAGGGGCCCGGACGCCUCGAAAGCAGGAGGGUGCCCAGGCGAAGUGCAGGCUGCACCAUGCAAUCUUCCGGGCGCAGAGGCGACCCAACCCGACCUGAGGGAGAUCCACGGGCUCUGGGCCGAGGGGAGACGCAGUGGAAUGAACUGAACUGCUGGUCCACAAGAACAGUUUUUCUAUCAAAGGAUACCAUCAAAUUCUGGAGAAGUUCUACAAAUCAUAAUCUAUUUCCCUUUUUCCAGAAAGGAAUUCUAGUAGCAUGUAUCCAACUGUUUCAAACCUCCACCUGCUACAUGGGCGUGGCUUCUGAGAUCGACAUGCUUCCAACAGCUUAUACAGAGUGAACGGCAGAUGCGUCCUUUGGGGGUGAUCUCAGGGACGUCAGAAAGUCCCUGCCUUCCAAAACACCUCCACCACCUUCUUGGUGGUGAAUAAAUGAGGGAAAUCCCAUCUAGAGAAGAGCAGUGUACAAAUGUCCAUUGAUGUAAAGCUACUGAUAAUCAGUUUUUUUUUCCCUGUGAUCAAGUGUUACUAAAGGAGAAAAGGGAAGAAAGAUGGGGGCCUGCAACUUCACUGACAGAGGAGGGAAGAAAGAAAGGGAGACAGAAGAAGAAAUUGAAGGCAUUCUUAUCAGAUUUGUCUAUCUCACAGUAUCCCUGGGAUAAUGCAGAAUGUGCAUCUGUCAGGAGGCUCUAGUGCCCAGAUUAUUCUAGGGAAGUCAGCACACCUGGCUCUGUUUUUGGUUCCUUUCCUAGAGUCAUUCGGCCAGCAAAUUGGAAGGCAGCAGGGAGCCUCAUGUGUCCUUCCCCACUGUUCAUAAGGCAAUAACCAACCUCCAAACUGAAGGUGGGGAUGAGGGGAUUUGCUCUAGCUAUACGUACAGGAAAAAAAAUCUGUACCAGGAGUGCCCCUCAUGGCUCAGCGGAAAUGAAUCUGACCAGUAUCCAUGAGGAUGCAGUUUCAAUCCCUCUGGCCUCAGGUUAAGGAUCUAGUGUUGCCAUGAAGUGAGCUGUGGUGUAGGUCACAGAUGAGGCUCAGAUCUAUUCGACCCCUAGCCUGGGAACCUCCAUAUGCCACAGGUAUGGCCCUACAAAAAAAGACCAAAAAAAAAAAAAAAAUCUGUACCAAAGUUUCAGCAGCUUAGCUUUGGUGAUUGGUCUGUAAUAAUUCUGUCAACCUCUUGUGUUUAUAAAGCCCUCCUCCAAACUUCUUAGAAGAGCUGUAGGAUAAGAAGGAACGAGUUAUUUCUUGAGGACCUGCUAGGGCCGUUCAUAUUUUACUUGUAAGCCUCAUCGCAGCACCACCAGGAAAGAACUACUUUUUCCACCUUACAGCAGAGGAAAUUGAGGAUCAGGAGGAUGUCAAAAGGCUGGUGUCCAACAGAACCUUUGUCAUUUAGGAAAAGCAAACUCUUCCACAGCCAGUACAAAGGGCAUGCCUCUUUCAAAGUGUAGAGUAGUGGCAGCCAGACAGCUAUUCUUAGAGGGUUUUUUCUUCACUCUUUAGCCCUCCCCCCCCCCUUUUUAGCCUGACUACCUCUGAUGCCCAUGGUUAAAUAUAUUUAUAAGUGAUCUUGAUGCAAGAAGUUGGCUCAGUUCCAAUUGGAAAUGCACUUAAUCCUGUCAUCUCAAACCAUCCCAUCCUUCUUAGCAGGUCACUCUCGGAGUGAUCCAGAGGGUGUUAGUGGGAGCAAAGUGUCCUCUCCAUUUUGCCGGUACCAUGAUGAGACGCUGACAAUGCCUUUUCUGCCAGCCAAGCACCUCUAUGCCAGGCAGGAUGCUAACGGUAAUGGAGAGCGGCCCUCUACGUCGAGCCCUGAAGGACUGCUUUCACUUGUGUCCGUUUGAUUUUGUGGUUUGGUUGUGGGUUGAUCCCAACCGAGCCCAAGGGACGGAGGUAGGAGAACCUUGAUCACAGAGGAGGCUGUUAAUGAGGGAAGCAGUCGGAGGUUCGGUCUAAUCUGAAAAUCAAGGAUAUAUCAUCUCCUAAAUCUGUCAGAGCAAUUUAGGACUGCCUUCUAGACAACCUCAUUCAUUCCGGGAUUGCUCCCAUUACCUGCUGUGACUGAGGGAAGCGCCUGGACCCUGGCCCCAACCUUCAAUGGAGCGCCACCUAGCGGAAUUGUUUUCAAAUACAAACAUUAUGCUGCCAAGGAAGUCCUUUUGCGUAAGGCUCUUGGCAUUUGCUUUUUUCUUUCAGGCGCUGUGUCAACAGGAUGAUGGGGCAUUUCCUAAGUCCAAAUAAGCCGAGUUAACAUAUUACGGAUUUAAAUAGUGUGGCAGUUAAUUGACCGAGGAUAUUUCGCCGCUUAAUAGCCUGAGUUCCCUUUACCCUUGACUAGAGAAGCAGAAUGGACCUGUUACACUGGGGUGGAGUCCCUGACAGCAGGGCAAGUAGCAAGGAAGGAAAAAACAAGCCAAUGUCCUGAAAAAUCUCCAUAAAAGGUCAGGCAUGGGCAGAUUAAAUGAACAUCAUCCUCAUGAAAACAGAGGCAGCUAGGUGGCCUGGCAUCCCAAGCUUCUGAAGAUGGCUCUCAGCCGCCAGGGGAGGAAAAUCCCCAUCUCUUCCUCACCCAGGCAGGAAGAGAUCUGUGCAAAGACCCUAAAUGUUUAGAUUCUUUCCACAUCACCUCUUGCUCAAUGUGGUCAGAACACAAAUGAUUUCAAUCCCCUCAUCCCUCUUGUUUAGAGGUAGCUCGCUAUGAUUUUAAAAGGUUAGAAUUUCAGGUGAUUAAAAACUGCUCAGAUAAACACCUACCACCCAGCCACUCUGGGGCUUCUCUUUGAUAGAAGUAGUGUGUUUGAGUCCUAGGACUGCCUUAAUUAAGUACCACAAACAUGGUUUGAAACAACAGAAAUUUAUUCUCUCCCAAUUCUGGAGGCUCCAAGUCCAAGAUCAAGGUGUCAGCAGAGCCAUGCUCUCUCUGAAGGCGCUAAGGGAAGAUAUGUGCCUUUCUCCCAGCUUCUGGUGUUGCCGACCAUCCCUGGCAUUCCUUAGCUUGUAGACACAUCACCCCAGUCUCUCUCUCAGCAUCACAUGGUGCUCACUCUGUGUCCUCACACCAUCUUCCCUCUGUGCAUGCCAUUGUCUUCACAUGACAUUUGGCUCUGCGUCUCUUCCACUCUCCUAAUGAGAACACCAGUCCUAUUAGCUUGGGUGCUCACCCUCCCCCAGUGUGACCUCAUCUUCACCUCCAUCUUGAUCACAUUUGCAAAAAUCCUACUUCCAGAUAAGGUCACAUUCACAGCUUCCAAGGGUUAGGACCUCAACAUAUCUUUUUAAGGACAUAUUCAACCCAUAAGAAAUAGGAAGGGUCAACAGCAGGCAGAAAACCACAAGACCAACACCAGUUAUAAGGGUGAGGGAGAGAAGGGCAUGGAGAUGCCCCAGUGCUGCUGGUUGUUUUUUUCCCCUGAAUUCCCACAUUCUCAUCCAUCCAAACCUCUGUAAUAUGAGGCUAAGACAAGAUCAUGAUAUUAAAUACUAUUAUAUCAGUAGGAUGAGAAAUAUAUUUUAAAGACAUGCCAUUUCCUUAGAAAGAAAAUAAUUGUCCAUUAUCUAUUUGGAACAUCCUUCCAAAUAGCUGUCUCUAAUUUACCGCCCUUUAUUUUUAGUGGGUGUAAAGGAAAUAAAUAUGACUCAUUUAACACCAUCUGUGCAUUUCCACUGAAAUGGAGAGUCAACCUGAAAUAUGUAGAAACUUUCAGUCUUUUAAUGUAGGAUUCUUUUUAUUUAAUGCAUUAGCUAUUUGAUAGAUAAUUCAAUAGAUCCUACUGCACUAAACUAUACAGCAUUCUUAUUCUUCAUAUUUUUUAUAGUCCAUAUUGUCUUAUUAUUGAUAACGCAUGCAUGUAUGCUACAUGUAGGUGCUGUCUUUGUAGGAAAUACUUUCUCCUUUCAAACAGAUGUAACAAUGUUAUCUGUCUUUACUGACUCUCUUCUGUGUUCCAGACACAGUGCUAAUUGGUUUAUAUGCAUUAUUUUAUUUAAUUAUUAAAGUAA